rnacentral:rRNA from 1 species
AUUGAACGCUGGCGGCAGGCCUAACACAUGCAAGUCGAGCGGCAGCGGGAAAGUAGCUUGCUACUUUUGCCGGCGAGCGGCGGACGGGUGAGUAAUGCCUGGGAAAUUGCCCAGUCGAGGGGGAUAACAGUUGGAAACGACUGCUAAUACCGCAUACGCCCUACGGGGGAAAGCAGGGGACCUUCGGGCCUUGCGCGAUUGGAUAUGCCCAGGUGGGGUUAGCUAGUUGGUGAGGUAAUGGCUCACCAAGGCGACGAUCCCUAGUUGGUCUGAGAGGAUGAUCAGCCACACUGGAACUGAGACACGGUCCAGACUCCUACGGGAGGCAGCAGUGGGGAAUAUUGCACAAUGGGGGAAACCCUGAUGCAGCCAUGCCGCGUGUGUGAAGAAGGCCUUCGGGUUGUAAAGCACUUUCAGCGAGGAGGAAAGGUUGAUGCCUAAUAUGUAUCAACUGUGACGUUACUCGCAGAAGAAGCACCGGCUAACUCCGUGCCAGCCGCCGCAGUAAGAC